CCCCAGCAUAUAGUUGUAUAUCCUAGUUGUAGGUCCUUCUAGUUCUUCUGCGUGGGAUGCCGCCACAGCUCGGCUUGAUGAACGGUGCUAGAUCCACACCCAGGAUACAAACUGGCAAACUCCGGGCUGCCAAAGUGGAGUGCGCAAACUUAACCGCUAUGCCACGGGGGUGGCCCCUGUCACUUUGAUUACCAUAACAACCUGGUGCCCCGGGCAGGAUGCUGGAAUCGGAUGAGUUCAGGUGUCUCCAUCAAACCCCAAGACGGUGCUGGCCCACAACUCCUCCUCAAGUUCAGCAAAAAAAAUACCAGGACUCAUGCAGCCGAGUGCAGGCCGGACACAGCCAGCGGCUCAGAAACUGGGCGCCUCCGCAGAGCUCACCCAGGGUGCUCGGGGCGGCUGGCCCUGCCAUGGCCCCCGACUCUUUCCCUCUUUCUCUGGCCUCAUGGUUCUCACCUCCCAACGACCACGCUUUCUCGCUCCUAUAAUCCGCCCACUUCCAGCCCGGCCUGUCAGAAUUGCCUUGGGAAUUUUUACCACGUGCCAUUGCUGUGCUCGCUUUAGAGUCGAUUAUCGGGCUGUGCCUUCUUGUUUAUGUAGGUGUCAGAUCUCAGGACACACACAGAGUGAAAAAUGUCUAUCCACGUAAUUCCCCACAUUAAUGUACCGAAGGAGUAAAAAUACAUCACUGUGCUCUGCACCCAGGAUUCGAACUGGCAAACCCUGGGCCACGAAAGCGCAACAUGCGCACUUAACUGCUGUGCCACCGGGCCAGCUCUGGAAGUUUCUUUCUUUCUUUUUAUUUUUGAGGAAGAUUAGCCCUGAGCUAACAUCUGCUGCCAAUCCUCCUCUUUUUGCUGAGGAAGACUGGCCCUGAGCUAACAUCCGUGCUCAUCUUCCUCUACUUUAUAU
rnacentral:lncRNA from 1 species